rnacentral:misc_RNA from 1 species
GCACUUACAGACUUGCAUUAACUUUGCAGCUUCUAAUUGUAUGCAAGUAGCUAAAGCCUUCAUAGUUGAAACCAUUACAUGAUAUUUCAAAAUUAAAUAGAAAAAUAUACAUCAACUUGGAUAAAUAUUACAGCAAAACCUUUAUAAUAGCCUAUGUUAAAGAAAAGCAAAGUAAAAGGCAAUUUUCUAUCGCCUCUGGAAAUUGAAGGCCUUG